UGGGGAAUAUUGCACAAUGGAGGGAACUCUGAUGCAGCGACGCCGCGUGAACGAAGAAGGCUUUCGAGUCGUAAAGUUCUUUUAUAUGGGAAGAUAAUGACGGUACCAUAAGAAAAAGCCCCGGCUAACUACGUGCCAGCAGCCGCGGUAAUACGUAGGGGGCUAGCGUUGUCCGGAAUCACUGGGCGUAAAGGGUUCGCAGGCGGAAAUGCAAGUCAGGUGUAAAAGGCAGUAGCUUAACUACUGUAAGCAUUUGAAACUGCAUAUCUUGAGAAGAGUAGAGGUAAGUGGAAUUUGUAGUGUAGCGGUGAAAUGCGUAGAUAUUAAAAAGAAUACCGGUGGCGAAGGCGACUUACUGGGCUCAUUCUGACGCUGAGGAACGAAAGCGUGGGUAGCAAACAGG
rnacentral:rRNA from 4 species